AAAUAGAUACCCGGGUAGUCCACGCCGUAAACGAUGUCGACUUGGAGGUUGUGCCCUUGAGGCGUGGGCUUCCGGAGCUAACGCGUUAAGUCGACCGCCUGGGGAGUACGGCCGCAAGGUUAAAACUCAAAUGAAUUGACGGGGGCCCGCACAAGCGGUGGAGCAUGUGGUUUAAUUCGAUGCAACGCGAAGAACCUUACCUACUCUUGACAUCCAGAGAACUUAGCAGAGAUGCUUUGGUGCCUUCGGGAACUCUGAGACAGGUGCUGCAUGGCUGUCGUCAGCUCGUGUUGUGAAAUGUUGGGUUAAGUCCCGCAACGAGCGCAACCCUUAUCCUUUGUUGCCAGCGGUUCGGCCGGGAACUCAAAGGAGACUGCCAGUGAUAAACUGGAGGAAGGUGGGGAUGACGUCAAGUCAUCAUGGCCCUUACGAGUAGGGCUACACACGUGCUACAAUGGCGUAUACAAAGAGAAGCGACCUCGCGAGAGCAAGCGGACCUCAUAAAGUACGUCGUAGUCCGGAUUGGAGUCUGC
rnacentral:rRNA from 1 species